rnacentral:lncRNA from 1 species
CCCCUGUCCUCAUCUCUUCCUUUCCUCCUGCCCCAGAAUAUAUUUCUUAGGGAGCAGCUGGACUGAAAGUUAUGGAGGAGCUCAGUGGGUUUGGAGGGGGAGAGGGAGAGAAGCUCCCCUCAAAUGCCCUCUCAGUUAAGGUUUGUUCUUUAAAUAUCCCACGUUUGUGCUAGAAGUGUUACAACAAAGUAGGCAAUGUGUUUUGUCUACAGACUAACCUGUGCACAUAGUUUCGCGUUAGCGUCCUUUCAUUCCUUCUAGAUAAUCUGUUACUGCUAUUAAUAGAAACAUACGCAACCUUCCUGGUGACCGAAAUUGCCUGGAGAUAACAAGAGGUUUUCUCGUUGUGCCUGGAACUUUUUGGUUGGGCGUUUUUUUGGGUGUUGGGCUGGCAACGGUGGAGCAAAGGCCUAGUGCAGCAGGCGAAGGCUUGUUCUGCUGGUGGAGCCACUGGAGGCCUGUGUGAGGAAUGCCCCUUGCUUUCCAGGACAUGACCUGGAUGCACCCCAAUACAGGGUACAGUCUGGUGGUUAUGAUAUGCAGUGCCUGCUGACAAACCAAGAAGCUGUUUUGAUGACCCGUUGUGCAAAGAAACCUGUCUGCAGGCCGUAUGUCUGUGUGAUUACAAAAGUGGAGCAUUUCUUAUCCCCAGUGUUAAGUGGAACCAGUCUGGCUGAGCUGAGUAGAAACGCAGUGACUAGUGCUGGGGCCGUUACUGGCUGUGUAUGGGGAGGCAUCCUCUGGAGAUGGAUCGGGCAGAACAAGCAAACCAUGACAUUCAGCCGUUACGUCUGCAAGCAGAUCUGCGGCUACUUCCUGCAGUUGUCCAUGGUGUUUCUCAUUGAACCUGAAAACAAAUCAUGGGACAGGAAGCCUUCUAAGCAACUCCAGACACCUGCAAGGAAAGCAAAGGGGAGUGUCCAAAGUUUGACUUCCCUUGCGUCUGGGGGAAAUCUGUAAUUUUCCACAAAGGUGCUCCAACCAUCAGGCUGUAAGCUUAUCUCAGGGGAAAGGAGUUAUUGCAUUUUGAGUGUGAAAGCAUUUGCUGGCACAAGAAGCAAGACACCCUCACAUCUGCAUGUGUUUGCAGAGGGGCUGAAGGAGCCUUUUCCGCCCCAAAACAUCUCACGCGACCCUCAGCAUCAGUGGCACAUCCUGCAUCUGAAGAUGAACACCAGGGUGAAUGCAGAAGGAUCUGCAAGGAAACGAACACUUUUUCCAGCCUUCCAGGUCAAUCUGAAUGUGAGAAGUGGCUUUUAAGAAAAGUUGUAUCUCUUGCUCUCGUUGGGUGGCUUUGGGAAGAAGAGGAGCUGAGUAUGUUUGGGGAGAAGGCAGGAGCCAAAAGACCAUUUUCAUGCAAACCUAAACCCCAAUCUUUCCAGUCCUUAGAAAGAAGAGUUCUAGAGGAUGAAAACACACAGGAACACAAAAAAAAUUGGAGAAAAGGAAAGGUGAUCCAUCACCCCAAGCAGACGAUUGCCACACAACAUAUGGAAUUAGAGCUCAGACCAGACUGGCAAGUCUGUGCUAAAGCAGGAAAUCUUUUAUUCCUACAUAUGAAAAUGAGCAGAGCCUUAACCACCAGGCUGUAUUCCCUUAUAAGCAGGGUUUGUAUGUCGGUUCCACUGAAACAAAUAGGCAAAAAAAGUUCCCUCUGAUGGGCUAUCAGGAGUCUCCUAGAUGUACAUUUGGGCAUUACAUGAUAACUGUGUUCCCUUCGAGGCCGGCGUCAGUCUCUUGGAACAAUCUGCUAGGCAGAGCAUAACAUAGACAAGUGUCCCAAUUUCACUCUGCUACGUUUAAAGAUAAUUUGCUAUGAAAGUUCUCAAAAUCUUUUUGCUGUCUGACUCCAGCAUUGUAUGAAAUCUCUUCAGGUUUUCUUAUUAUUACUGCUGUUAAUUUUCUAUUAGGAAUAAUUAACUUUGCAAUCUCCCCAAGCCUGUAUGCAUGUGUGUAUGCA